rnacentral:rRNA from 1 species
GACGUAGGCAGCAAGCGUUGUUCGGAGUUACUGGGCGUAAAGGGUGCGUAGGCGGCUUUUUAAGUCUGGUGUGAAAUCUCCCGGGCUCAACUGGGAGGGUGCGCCGGAUACUGAGGGGCUAGAGUGUGGGAGAGGAAAGUGGAAUUCCUGGUGUAGCGGUGAAAUGCGUAGAUAUCAGGAGGAACACCGGUGGUGUAAACGGCUUUCUGGACCAUAACUGACGCUGAGGCACGAAAGCGUGGGUAGCAAACAGG